AAUUACGAGGUCCUUCGUAUUAUUGAUUAUUUUUAAUAAUACUAUUGCUAAGCUGCUGACACCUCUGAUCCUUUGCAACAAAUCAAUUAUAAAUUGUUAUUAUGAAUUACCAGCCGCAACACCAGCUGAUGUUUACAGUUAAAACCUACAUUUAUUCAAAUUCUUUAGGUUGUUAUAAUGUGAUGGCGGCUCUGUUCAGUGAAUUUACUCUACAUUACCCAAAGUACCAGGCGUGUGCGCAAGAGGAGGCUGUAGGAGGCUCAAGCUCAGGUGCUAAAUAAACUAAUUAUUGGGGACACACAUAGUAACGAUGGAGGAUGUUUUAAGAAAAUACAUUCUUGUUUGUCAGUGUCUGUUUUUGACAGCACAAGAACAAUAUUUGUUUCUGAAAACAAAUGUUUCAGGAUCAAAAACUAAUAAAGAAAUCAAGGGUAUCAUAGCUUUUUGAUAAGAUAAGAACGUCGUUAUUACUCCCUCAGCUGGGAAAUUGCACCUCAUAACAGCAACAGGACAGAAAACAAACAAACCAUACAAACACACAUCCAUUAACAAAGCACACACCCAUAAACAGAGCAAAUGCAGUGAACUGUUCUGAUUGUAGAGUCUGAUGCAGCAGGUAGGAAGGAUCUGUGAUAUCUCUCCUUCACACAGUGAGUCACACAGUCACAGUCUGCUACUGAAGCUGCUCCAGAGCAGACAGUGAGUCCUGGUCCAGGAUGGAUGUGGGUUCAGCCAGGACCCUCCUCUCACCACCUCCUGCACCGUGUCCAGAGUGCAGCCCAGGACAGAGCUGGACUUGUUGAUGAUCCUGUCCAGUCUCUUCCUGUCAUCACUGUGAUGCUGCUGCUCCAUCAGACCACACGUACACGAUGAUGAUGCCUCCAGAGUCAUAGAAGGUCUUCAGGAGCGGCCCCUCACUCCAAAAGGCUCAGUCUCCUCAGCAGUGUGAUGACAGCAGGCUGUCGUCAGCGGAUGAUUUUACGUCAGCUCCAGUUGAACCACAGUGGAGGCAUCCUCAGGUCAUGUGACUUAUUGCCAGCCAGGAGAGGGAAAUCAAAGGCCCAGUGUGAGGGAGAUCUUCUGAGACACUGAGCUGUUGUAAAUGCGGAUUUCCUUCUUUUGUUUUUUGGGGGGAUUUUCACAAUCGCUAUAGUGAGGGUGAACAGUACAAGGUCACACCCACCAUCUAAACCUUUUGGAAGUUACUGAUAGAAAAAGUGGUAAUUGAAGCUAAUUUGUAAGUGCACAAAAAUGCACAAAAUAACUUAAAUGUUUAAAGUCCCUUUACGACCAAUUUAAAUUAAAUGUAAUUGUUAUGUAUAUUAUGUAUAAGUGUAAGUUCCACACGGUUUUUUGUUGUUAUCAGAGGUUGCAUUUUAUUGUGAAGGCAGACUCCGGGCGUGUUAUGCUUACUUUUGUGAAAUGAAGGAUCAGUGCAGCAUCGAAAACGCGCAGUCUGCAGAGAAGGUAAAGAUACACAACAGAUACACAAAGAGGGUUCCCUCCAUCAACAUCAGCCUUUAAAUACAUAAAACGCCCCGGUAAUAUUCAUUCAUAUUUCGUACAUUGACAUCUAGCAUUAAUAUAUUACCUAACAGAAUUAUCUGAGAUACAAUUUCUAAGACACUUUUACGAGUGGAGCAGUCAGCCUUUAACUCCUGUAUAAACGCUUUGAUUUUAAUUCCACUAGUAAUGUCAUAAGGAAUCAGUGUAUCACGGUUAUGAAAGAUUAAUAAU